rnacentral:rRNA from 1 species
UCGAGCGCACCUUCGGGUGAGCGGCGGACGGGUUAGUAACGCGUGGGAACAUACCCUUUUCUACGGAAUAGCCUCGGGAAACUGAGAGUAAUACCGUAUAAGCCCUUCGGGGGAAAGAUUUAUCGGGAAAGGAUUGGCCCGCGUUAGAUUAGAUAGUUGGUGGGGUAAUGGCCUACCAAGUCUACGAUCUAUAGCUGGUUUUAGAGGAUGAUCAGCAACACUGGGACUGAGACACGGCCCAGACUCCUACGGGAGGCAGCAGUGGGGAAUCUUAGACAAUGGGCGCAAGCCUGAUCUAGCCAUGCCGCGUGUGUGAUGAAGGUCUUAGGAUCGUAAAGCACUUUCGCCAGGGAUGAUAAUGACAGUACCUGGUAAAGAAACCCCGGCUAACUCCGUGCCAGCAGCCGCGGUAAUACGGAGGGGGUUAGCGUUGUUCGGAAUUACUGGGCGUAAAGCGUACGUAGGCGGAUUGGAAAGUUGGGGGUGAAAUCCCAGGG